rnacentral:tRNA from 1 species
GGAGGGUUAGUUUAAGUAUUUUGAGAAUCCUGUUUUUGUAAAGCAGGGGUGGUUUUUGCUGCCCUCCA